AUUACUGUGAACUACANUUNCCACUUGGNNGGGNNAAGNNAAACCCCNAAACCNNCANNCNNGGCNGNAAACACGAGAAAUCCACAAAACUUUCAACAACGGAUCUCUUGGUUCUCGCAUCGAUGAAGAGCGCAGCGAAAUGCGAUACCUAGUGUGAAUUGCAGCCAUCGUGAAUCAUCGAGUUCUUGAACGCACAUUGCGCCCGCCGGCAUUCCGGCGGGCAUGCCUGUCUGAGCGUCGUUUCCUUCUUGGGGCGGAGCUUCAGACCUGGGCGGGGAAGCGGGCUUGCCCAUCCCCGGCUCAAAGCGAGGGCCGGUCUGCGCGAACUAGUGUGUGCGCGCGGGCCGGCAGCGAACUUUAACCGAGCUCGACCUCAGAUCAGGCAGGAGUACCCGCUGAACUUAAGCAUAUCAAUAAGCGGAGGA
rnacentral:rRNA from 1 species